rnacentral:rRNA from 1 species
GAUGAACGCUGGCGGCGUGCCUAAUACAUGCAAGUCGAGCGAACAGAUAAGGAGCUUGCUCCUUUGACGUUAGCGGCGGACGGGUGAGUAACACGUGGGUAACCUACCUAUAAGACUGGAAUAACUCCGGGAAACCGGGGCUAAUGCCGGAUAACAUUUAGAACCGCAUGGUUCUAAAGUGAAAGAUGGUUUUACUAUCACUUAUAGAUGGACCCGCGCCGUAUUAGCUAGUUGGUAAGGUAACGGCUUACCAAGGCAACGAUACGUAGCCGACCUGAGAGGGUGAUCGGCCACACUGGGACUGAGACACGGUCCAGACUCCUACGGGAGGCAGCAGUAGGGAAUCUUCCGCAAUGGGCGAAAGCCUGACGGAGCAACGCCGCGUGAGUGAUGAAGGUCUUCGGAUCGUAAAACUCUGUUGUUAGGGAAGAACAAAUGUGUAAGUAACUGUGCACGUCUUGACGGUACCUAAUCAGAAAGCCACGGCUAACUACGUG